rnacentral:lncRNA from 1 species
AAUAAAUGAUUUGUUAAAACACUGACUAAUGAAUUAGACCUGAUCACUGACCACGACCCUAGUGAUGAAAGAAUUUCACAUGUACCAAUUACAUAAGUAUAGAAGUAUGAAGGCAAUGGAGAUGACUAAUGAAUUAGACCUGAUCACUGACCACGACCCUAGUGAUGAAAGAAUUUCACAUGUACCAAUUACAUAAGUAUAGAAGUAUGAAGGCAUUGGAGAUGUAACACAAGCAUUUGCUCACUAAUUGAACAUGACCCCCAUCAAUAAGAUUCCUUGUUUUCUCAAAAAAUAAUAAUAUUCCUUGUCAACAAUAGGAUUCAUAUGUAAGUAUAAAAGUACGGAAGAUGUUGGAGAAAUAUUGCAAGUACUUUUCAGCGAUUGAAAAUGGUCUUCAUCAGUAACAUUCCUUAUCAAAUUAACAGAAUUUAUAUAUCAGUAUAAAACUAUGGAGGAUGUUGGAAAAAUAUUGGAAGCAUUUUUCAGUAAUUGAAAUGGCCCUUGUAAAUAACAGCCCUUAUUUAUAACAACAAAGAGUAGGUUACACAGACUUGUACUGUACAAAUUUUUUUUUUUUAAUAAUAAUACUAUUUUUAUAAGCAAUAUCGACAAGAAACCACCACAGGCAGAUGCAGUAUAGUGUUAUGUAGUAAAAUGUUUCCAACACAAGGUUUUCCUUUCUAAUGGCUCAAAAACUUCCCUUGGCUCUUCAAAUUUUCGUGAACAACAAAGAUUGUAAAAAUGAUGCAACGAAACAAACAAAAAUGUUAUGAAAGUGAAGAAAAUGAUACAAAUUUAUCAAUAAAUGAAAUUAUCAAUGCCUAUACAAAAAGACAACCACAAAAAUGUGAGUAAAAUGAGAAAACAUGAUACACUGAUCAUCAAGGCAAUCUCUUGAAGGUCACACUACUCAAACCAUAAUACGGCUCAAAAAGACCAUCAUGAUCUAAGUUAUUCCAUUUUGCAUACAUAUUCGCAUCAUUGUUCCCAAUUUCAACUUUUGACAAGAUUUCAAAUAGUGCAUAUAAAAUACAUGCCCAGAUGAAAUAUAUUUUUCAACUUAAAAAUCAUAGUUUUAGUAACGAAACU